rnacentral:rRNA from 1 species
UACGGAGGGUGCAAGCGUUAUUCGGAAUCACUGGGCGUAAAGGACGCGUAGGCGGGUUGGCAAGUCAGAUGUGAAAUCCUACAGCUUAACUGUAGAACUGCAUUUGAAACUGCUAACCUAGAGUAUGGGAGGGGGAGAUGGAAUUAGUGGUGUAGGGGUAAAAUCCGUAGAUAUCACUAGGAAUACCGAAAGCGAAGGCGAUCUCCUGGAACAUAACUGACGCUAAGGCGUGAAAGCGUGGGGAGUAAACAGGAUUAGAAACCCUAGUAGUCC